UACGUAGGGUGCAAGCGUUGUCCGGAAUUAUUGGGCGUAAAGAGCUCGUAGGCGGUCUGUCACGUCGGCUGUGAAAUCCCGAGGCUCAACCUCGGGUCUGCAGUCGAUACGGGCAAACUAGAGUAUUGCAGGGGAGACUGGAAUUCCUGGUGUAGCGGUGAAAUGCGCAAAUAUCAGGAGGAACACCGGUGGCGAAGGCGGGUCUCUGGGCAAUAACUGACGCUGAGGAGCGAAAGCGUGGGGAGCGAACAGG
rnacentral:rRNA from 1 species